UGGGGAAUAUUGCACAAUGGGCGAAAGCCUGAUGCAGCGACGCCGCGUGAGGGAUGACGGCCUUCGGGUUGUAAACCUCUUUCAGCAGGGACGAAGCGCAAGUGACGGUACCUGCAGAAGAAGCACCGGCUAACUACGUGCCAGCAGCCGCGGUAAUACGUAGGGUGCAAGCGUUGUCCGGAAUUACUGGGCGUAAAGAGUUCGUAGGCGGUUUGUCGCGUCGUUUGUGAAAACCAGCAGCUCAACUGCUGGCUUGCAGGCGAUACGGGCAGACUUGAGUACUGCAGGAGAGACUGGAACUCCUGGUGUAGCGGUGAAAUGCGCAGAUAUCAGGAGGAACACCGGUGGCGAAGGCGGGUCUCUGGGCAGUAACUGACGCUGAGGAACGAAAGCGUGGGUAGCGAACAGG
rnacentral:rRNA from 1 species